GUCACCUUAGUGGCUCUCUUAGCAUGAGAGUGUUUGUGCUGUCUCCUUGGGAAUCUGGCAUUUGGGCAGUCCCUAAUGUGGAUUGCAGGACGAUGCAAGGAGAUGAGCACUGUCCUAGAGAAGACAGAUGAACCUGCCAAAUACACAGCCUGUGAGUCCUUGACCUGUGAUGGCUCC
rnacentral:lncRNA from 14 species